AAAACCAUUUAGCUGUUCUGAUCAGAGUAAAAGACAGAGAACAGAAGAGCACUCUGAACAAAGACAUUAGAAUUCAGACAGGACAAAAACCAUUUCUCUGUUCUGAGUGUGGUAAAAAUUUUGGACGAAAGGACACCCUGAAAGCACACAUGAUAAUUCAUACAGGGCAAAAGCAUUUGUCUGUUCUGAGUGCGGUAAAAGGUUUGGACAAAAGAGCAAACUGAAAACACACAUGCUAAUUCAUACAGCGCAAAAAGCAUUUGUCUGUUCUGAGUGUGGUCAAAGAUUUGGACGAUAAGGACACCAUGAAAGCACACAUGAUAUUCAUACAGG